AUUGAACGCUGGCGGCAUGCCUUACACAUGCAAGUCAAACGGCAGCAUGGAGAGCUUGCUCUCUGAUGGCGAGUGGCGAACGGGUGAGUAAUGCAUCGGAACGUACCGUGUAAUGGGGGAUAACGUAGCGAAAGUUACGCUAAUACCGCAUACGACCUAAGGGUGAAAGCAGGGGAUCGCAAGACCUUGCGUUAUACGAGCGGCCGAUGUCAGAUUAGCUAGUUGGUGAGGUAAAGGCUCACCAAGGCGACGAUCUGUAGCGGGUCUGAGAGGAUGAUCCGCCACACUGGGACUGAGACACGGCCCAGACUCCUACGGGAGGCAGCAGUGAGGAAUUUUGGACAAUGGGGGCAACCCUGAUCCAGCCAUGCCGCGUGAGUGAAGAAGGCCUUCGGGUUGUAAAGCUCUUUCGGCCGGGAAGAAAUCGCACAGGCUAAUACUCUGUGUGGAUGACGGUACCGGCAUAAGAAGCACCGGCUAACUACGUGCCAGCCGCCGCAGUAA
rnacentral:rRNA from 1 species